UGUUAUAAAACAGAGCUUUUUGCUCUCUGUGAAUCUCGCACUAUCAGUGUUAAACACUGAGACUCUCCUUUCUUUAUUCUUUUUCUUCUCUAUCUUCUUUCUUCUCCUUUCUUCUUCUUUCUCAUUCUUUUCCUUCUCUCUGCAAUCUGAGAGAUUACAGGAGACAGAGUGAGAAAGUGUGAGACGGUGAGGUAGAGAGAAAUAGAAGAGAGAUCAGAGGGCUGAGAGUGAGAGAAUUUAGAGUCAGAGAGACCAAGAGAUCAAGAGAGUGGGUUGAACAUAGAGACCCAGACCGAAUCCGAGAAGGGAGGAUCCGGUGACCUGAGGCCGACUUUCGGCAAGGCUAGUGCGGUCCGGCAAAGCAGAGGACGCCGGAGGAAGCCGGGAGAGCGAUUUCCGGCGGGAUGGCAGUGGACCCGUAAGCUCGAACCCACCGAACCAGCUGGAACCCGUGACCCAGCCGGACCCGAUCCGCCACUGGGUUACCGCCAGUGGACCCAUAACACCGUGAACCUCGACUGACCUACCGGACUCAGACCGUAUGUGCAUGAGGCCUUGACCCACGACCCGCGAGCUCAGAAAUCAGAGCACCCGUGACCAUGACUUCCGUGACCCGAAACCCACAUGACCCGAUUGUGGAGGAACCAUUGCAGACUUGAGCAGCCCAAAACCGUAGCCCAGAAUCCCAUCAAACCCGUGACCCAAGCUGAAACCAGUGAAGCCGACCCUCCAACGUGUGACCCAGCAGCGAUCCAGCCCACAACACCCCGAUCCAGCAGGGAUCCAGCCCAGACUCGAAUCCAGCUCGGAUCCGCAGUCCGUUAGCCCAGAAAUUUGGCGUGACCCGGACCCCCAGCCAAGCCCAGCCAAGAUCCGACCCGUGAGAACCCGUGGGCUGACUCCAGCCCAGAUCCAUUGAGCCCAACCCGGUCGGCCCAUUAACCAUGAAGACCCGUGAUACUGUGGGCUGAAUUUCAGCCCAGACCAGCAAAACCCGACCCAUCUCAGACCCGCUAAGCCCAACCCGAAAGCAGUCCCCAACCCGUGACCCGAACCCGGAGACCCGACCCGGUGGCGACCCGUCUCCGGCAGACUUUUCCGGCGACUUUUCCUGGACCGAACUCACUGUUUUCACUGGAUUUUCUAUUAAAAAUCCUUAAUAUGAUAAAUUAAGAAACUAUACAAGGAGAGUAAAGCUUGAUCUCGAUGCUAAUGGAAAGUCCAAGUUAUGACAGAGAGACCUAGGCGGCCGGGAUGGGAUCUAGGAUUUGCAUUAGAUCAUUGCAUCUCAAUUACCUUAAUAAAUGCACUUGCACAAUAAAUUUAGUUUUUCUUUAGAUUCUAAAUUAUUGAAUCAAACAUAAUUGUUUAUUUCAAAAUAACCGUUUCCGCAUUUAUUAAAGCUCUGAGUUUUAAAAUCA